rnacentral:rRNA from 1 species
UGUACCGCUGUAGACUAGCAUAUCAUAAGCGGAGGAAAAGAAUCCACAGGGAUGCCCCAGUACGGCGAGUGAAGCGGCACAGCUCAAAUUUGAAAUCUGGCCCCCCCGGGGCCCGAGUGUAAUUUGCAGAGGACGCUUCCGGCACGGCCCAUCCGAGUCCCCUGGAACGGGGCGCCAGAGAGGGUGAGAGCCCCGUACGGCCCGGGCGCCGGCGCCGGUGUGAAGCUCCUUUCGACGAGUCGAGUAGUUUGGGAAUGCUGCUCAAAACGGGAGGUACAUUCCUUCUAAGGCUAAAUACCGGCUGGAGACCGAUAGCGCACAAGUAGAGUGAUCGAAAGAUGAAAAGCACUUUGAAAAGAGGGUUAAACAGCACGUGAAAUUGUUGAAAGGGAAGCGCCCGCGGCCAGACGCGGGCCGGACCGAUCACCCGGCGCUCGCGCCGGUGCACUCGGCCCGGCCCGGGCCAGCAUCGGCUCGCGCGGGGGGACAAAGGCGCCGGGAACGUAGCUCCCCACGGGGAGUGUUAUAGCCCGGCGCGCAAUGCCCCCGCGCGGGCCGAGGUACGCGCUCCGCAAGGAUGCUGGCGUAAUGGCCGCCGGCGACCCGUCUUGAAACACGGACCAAGGAGUCAAGGUUCUGCGCGAGUGUCUGGGUGCCAAACCCGCACGCGCAAUGAAAGUGAACGCUGGUGGGAGCCUCCGGGCGCACCACCGACCGAUCCUGAUGUUCUCGGAUGGAUUUGAGUAGGAGCGCAGUGCCUUGGACCCGAAAGGUGAGCCCCCAACCCCCCCAACCCCCGACCGCACAGCGGACGAAUGUACUAACCGUGGCCCGCAGAUGGUGAACUAUGCUUGGAUAGGGUGAAGCCAGAGGAAACUCUGGUGGAGGCUCGCAGCGGUUCUGACGUGCAAAUCGAUCGUCAAAUCUGAGCAUGGGGGCGAAAGUGAGUCCCCCCCGCGGCAGCCCCCCCCCCCCCCCGCUUGGGCCGUACCGAAUGCUAACCCGCCCGUAGGACUAAUCGAACCAUGAACCUUGUAG